UACACUCUUCGUGAUUUCAGCGCCCCUACCUCAAAACGCAAUUCCAUAGCCCAAACGCGUCACAUAAUCCUUUCCGCCUCGACCCGAGAUCAACAAUCAAAAUCCCGGCUACCAACACCUCAGCU